GAUGAACGCUGGCGGCGUGCCUAAUACAUGCAAGUCGAACGCAUUGUGGUUGAAAUGAUAUGAAGAACUUGUUCAGAUUUGAUUUUCAACAUUGCAAUGAGUGGCGAACGGGUGAGUAACACGUGGGAAACCUACCUCUUAGCAGGGGAUAACAUUUGGAAACAAAUGCUAAUACCGUAUGAUAAUUAAAACCGCAUGGUUUUAGUUUAAAAGAUGGUCUUGCUAUCACUAAGAGAUGGUCCCGCGGUGUAUUAGUUAGUUGGUGAGGUAAUGGCUCACCAAGACAAUGAUACAUAGCCGAGUUGAUAGACUGACCGGCCACAAUGGGACUGAGACACGGCCCAUACUCCUACGGGAGGCAGCAGUAGGGAAUCUUCCACAAUGGACGAAAGUCUGAUGGAGCAACGCCGCGUGUGUGAUGAAGGGUUCGGCUCGUAAAACACUGUUGUAAGAGAAGAAUGACAUUGAGAGUAACUGUUCAAUGUGUGACGGUA
rnacentral:rRNA from 1 species